CCUACGGGAGGCAGCAGUCGAGAAUUAUUCACAAUGGGGGAAACCCUGAUGGGGCGACGCCGCGUGGGGGAAUGAAGGUCUUCGGAUUGUAAACCCCUGUCAUGUGGGAGCAAAUUAAAAAGAUAGUACCACAAGAGGAAGAGACGGCUAACUCUGGGCCAGCAGCCGCGGUAAUACAGAGGUCUCAAGCGUUGUUCGGAAUCACUGGGCGUAAAGGGUGCGUAGGCUGUUUCGUAAGUCGUGUGUGAAAGGCGCGGGCUCAACCCGCGGACGGCACAUGAUACUGCGAGACUAGAGUAAUGGAGGGGGAACCGGAAUUCUCGGUGUAGCAGUGAAAUGCGUAGAUAUCGAGAGGAACACUCGUGGCGAAGGCGGGUUCCUGGACAUUAACUGACGCUGAGGCACGAAGGCCAGGGGAGCGAAAGGGAUUAGAUACCCCUGUAGUC
rnacentral:rRNA from 1 species